UACAUGUGGGGCAAGCGUUGUUCGGAAUUACUGGGCGUAAAGCGCGUGUAGGCGGCAGGGCAAGUCGGAUGUGAAAGCCCACGGCUCAACCGUGGAAGUGCACCCGAAACUGCCCAGCUAGAGUCUCGGAGAGGAAGGUGGAAUGCCUGGUGUAGAGGUGAAAUUCGUAGAUAUCAAGCGGAACACCGGUGGCGAAGGCGGCCUUCUGGACGAUGACUGACGCUGAGACGCGAAAGCGUGGGGAGCAAACAGG
rnacentral:rRNA from 1 species